rnacentral:rRNA from 1 species
AGUGUCGCAGGGAAACCGAUAAACACACCGCCUGGGGAGUACGACCGCAAGGUUAAAACUCAAAUGAAUUGACGGGGACCCGCACAAGUAGUGGAGCAUGUGGUUUAAUUCGAAGAUACGCGCAGAACCUUACCAACACUUGACAUGUUCGUCGCGACUCUAAGAGAUUAGAGUUUUCGGUUCGGCCGGACGAAACACAGGUGCUGCAUGGCUGUCGUCAGCUCGUGUCGUGAGAUGUUGGGUUAAGUCCCGCAACGAGCGCAACCCUCACUUUUAGUUGCCAUCAUUAAGUUGGGCACUCUGAAAGAACUGCCAGUGAUAAGCUGGAGGAAGGUGGGGAUGACGUCAAGUCCUCAUGGCCCUUACGUGUUGGGCUACACACGUGCUACAAUGGUAUCUACAACAGGAAGCAAGACUGCGAAGUUAAGCAAAUCCCUAAAAGAUACCUCAGUUCGGAUUGCACUCUGCAACUCGAGUGCAUGAAGCUGGAAUUACUAGUAAUCGUGGAUCAGCGUGCCACGGUGAAUGCGUUCCCGGGUCUUGUACACACCGCCCGUCACACCAUGGGAGUUGGUUCUACCUUAAGGCAAGGUUUCAAACCCUUGACCACGGUAUAGUCAGCGACUGGGGUGAAGUCGUAACAAGGUACC